rnacentral:rRNA from 1 species
AUUGAACGCUGGCGGCAUGCCUUACACAUGCAAGUCGAACGGCAGCACGGGAGCAAUCCUGGUGGCGAGUGGCGAACGGGUGAGUAAUAUAUCGGAACGUGCCCGGUCGUGGGGGAUAACGUAGCGAAAGCUACGCUAAUACCGCAUACGAUCUACGGAUGAAAGCGGGGGAUCGCAAGACCUCGCGCGAUUGGAGCGGCCGAUAUCAGAUUAGGUAGUUGGUGAGGUAAAGGCUCACCAAGCCGACGAUCUGUAGCUGGUCUGAGAGGACGACCAGCAACACUGGGACUGAGACACGGCCCAGACUCCUACGGGAGGCAGCAGUGGGGAAUUUUGGACAAUGGGCGCAAGCCUGAUCCAGCAAUGCCGCGUGCAGGAUGAAGGCC